ACGCUGAAUAUGCUAUAGAGGGACGCCAAAUGUAGGCUACGGUAUUCACACGCUGGCAUGCAUUUCAAGGGAUUUUUAUAAUUUUGUGCGUAUGGAAAUUAUUUCACUAAUUUUCAUACGCUUCUCAUACGUUUCGCUGAUACGCAAUAGUGUGACAGGGCUUUAAGAGUUGUACAAAUACUUCGUUAUUUGCGCAACAGUUGCAUCAUAUUAGG